ensembl:lncRNA
GGUUUUUUCUUUUUUAUGGUGAAUUCUUGGGAAUAUUGGCUUGUGUCUGUGGCAAAGGUUUUCAAUAGUACUUUCUUUCCUUUUCAGGUCACAGUAUUCUAAGAAAUCGAACAGUGUGCCACCCUCCCCAGUGUGGGUACAGACUCAGGUGUAGACAGCUUUCAGGCACUGAUUUCAUACUCCCAAUAGGUAAAUGAAGAAUUCAGUGUUCAACCAUCACAGACAUUUAAAAAAAGAAAGAAAACAUCAAAGAAUUUGAAACAAAAUUCUAACAAUGCAGAAAGCAGUGAUGCCAGGUUCCUCGCACACUGCAGCUGGCAGGACAGUCUUCCUUGGCUGGACCGCCCCGCCGUGCGCGUGCCGCGUCUGUCCCUCCCUGGCCUGGGCUCCGCACCCUUGCGCGGCCGGAGCAGCUCUGCGCGGGCGCGGGCGUCUCCUCAGCGCCAUUCACCGACUUUCUGAUCGCACCUCGUGAAACCCUCCGGACAGAGGCUGCGGAGCUGCUGCCGGACGGUGGGAUGGGUGAGUCAAAGCCGGGAAGCCUCGGGGAUUGGUGGGAAGGCAGGCGCGGCCCCGGCCCCGAGCUCCGAUUCCCGCGGAACGGCUCCGAGCCGGCGACUCCGGACGGGAAGGUCGGGGCCCCCAGCGCCGCCCCGAAGGCCGGGUCCCCGCGGAACAUGACGCCUCAGAUGGCUCAUCAAUUUCAGGAACUCUUCCAAAGCAUGCACCAUCAAAUUGAGAGCCAUCCCCACCGCUAUCCCCACUACUAUGACCCCUCCCCGAGGGACCUUCUCUUCUUCCUCCAGCUGCUUUACCUGCACUAAGUGGUAAACAUCACCGCUAUCAUCUUGCUUUGGGGAGUCUCUCCUCUACCACCACCUUUGUUCGGGGACCCCCUUUUUAGGCUCACCACCUGCUCUGUCAUGUAGAAAGAAGCAGAAAUAAAUUAAUAAAUGUUAAGUUUUUAUGAUGAAUGUGAUCAUUAUGUAUAUCUAAAAAAACCCAAUAAAAUUAAUUUUUAAAACGUGAA